GUCACUUUGCCGGAGUGGUUAACGGGAUCGCCUGCUAACAGCGAAGCGGUUGGGCUUUGCCCGCGAGUGUUCGAAUCGCUCAGGUGACG